rnacentral:rRNA from 1 species
CAGCCGCCACGGGAAUACAGAGGGUGCGAGCGUUAAUCGGAUUUACUGGGCGUAAAGCGUGCGUAGGCGGCUUCUUAAGUCGGAUGUGAAAUCCCUGAGCUUAACUUAGGAAUUGCAUUCGAUACUGGGAAGCUAGAGUAUGGGAGAGGAUGGUAGAAUUCCAGGUGUAGCGGUGAAAUGCGUAGAGAUCUGGAGGAAUACCGAUGGCGAAGGCAGCCAUCUGGCCUAAUACUGACGCUGAGGUACGAAAGCAUGGGGAGCAAACAGGAUUAGAUACCCGGGUAGUCCCUGUCUCUUAUAA